GCGGCGUGCCUAAUACAUGCAAGUAGAACGCACAGGAUGCACCGUAGUUUACUACACCGUAUUCUGUGAGUUGCGAACGGGUGAGUAACGCGUAGGUAACCUGCCUGGUAGCGGGGGAUAACUAUUGGAAACGAUAGCUAAUACCGUAUAAGAACAUUUACUGCAUGGUAGAUGUUUAAAAGGUGCAAGAGCAUCACUACCAGAUGGACCUGCGUUGUAUUAGCUAGUUGGUGAGGUAACGGCUCACCAAGGCAACGAUACAUAGCCGACCUGAGAGGGUGAUCGGCCACACUGGGACUGAGACACGGCCCAGACUCCUACGGGAGGCAGCAGUAGGGAAUCUUCGGCAAUGGGGGGAACCCUGACCGAGCAACGCCGCGUGAGUGAAGAAGGUUUUCGGAUCGUAAAGCUCUGUUGUUAAGGAAGAACGUGUGUGAGAGUGGAAAGUUCACAC
rnacentral:rRNA from 1 species